GCUUUCGUUAUGGCUGCACCGUUUGUCAAGCCUCUGUCGGUGUUGAAAAAAGAUACUUCGUAGGGAUGGUACAUUCAUUUGGUACUUAACACCUCACCUGGCAAAAUAACGAGAACCAUAGAGUGAACAUUUUGCAUCUCCAUGUGUCAUGGAAUUUAGGUGUAUAUACCGUGUUAGGGGAAGUUGUUCAGUCAACGAUGUCCUUCGGACUUCAUCCCACACCUCAAACCUGCUCUGUAGCCGAUGACCUCAUCUGACGUCGAUGCGGUGUGGGUGAAGCAUUCCGUAUCAAUCAUAUUACCAAUGAAGUGGUGCACGGUGGUGAUACGCUUUUUUUUAGACAUAAAGACCCUUGAAUUUGUACGUCUCAACCAUAUGUAAUCGUAUUUAUGCUUAGACGCUCCGGGAGGUAGUGGCGUGUUGGAGUACCAGGAAGCAGCAUUUCCAAAGCAAAAAACCAAUUUGAGGAUUGGCAACACUAAUCCAAAAAAUAUAUAUCUAAAAUUUAUUUGCUUGUUUUGGUAAUUAAAAUGAGUUAAAUGAAAAAAUUUUGGCUUUAGAAAUGAUGCUCAUCAGUAAGAUGACAAAUGUUAAGAGACGAUGUAGAAAGAGACGUUGAAUGAGACAGUUUGCAAAACUUACAUUGGCGUCGAAAAAACUGCAUCUAAGUGUCUACUUGAAACAAUUUCAGUUAGCGAUGGCAGACAAGCGGCAAGAGAAAAAUGUAAAUCUUUGUGAUAUGAGAAAGGCUGUAAAUAUUGGGAAUUUCUCGAAGAAGUUCACAGCGAAUUAUAAG